rnacentral:piRNA from 1 species
UGAAAGAAAUUCAUUUGAACAGAGC